ensembl:lncRNA
UGUGUGUGUGUGUGUGUGUGUAGGUGUGUGUGUGUGUGUGUGUGUGUGUAGGUAUAUCACCGUUUCAUGUGUAUGGAUCAGAAAUAUGAUUAGGUGGAUUUUUAUUUGCCUUUGGAGUUUGGACUUUAUUUCUUUAAAUGCUAAAAAUCCAGAUUACAUUUUUUCUAUUGAUUUUGAAAAUGAGCUUUUAGGUGUUUUCUGUUCGACUAAAUUCAGUAAAGUUUUCUGAACACUCUAGUGCAGCUGUGUCAAACUCAUUCCACGGAAGGCCGAGUGUCUGCAGGUUGUUGUUUUUUCCUUUCAAUGAAGUCCUAGACAACCAGGUGAGGAGAGUUCCUUACUAAUUAGAGACUUUAAUUCAUCAAUCAAGUACGAGCGAGGAGGGGAUAACCUCGCAGACACUCGGCCAUCCGUGGAAUGAGUUUCACACGUGCUCUAGUGCCACAUUUCUACUUGGUCUCCUGCAACACUUUUUGAACAGGAAAAUGAAUACUGCUGCAACAGCUGAAUCUGGUAAAAUCACUGAGUUUAUGGAGGUAUGCUCUCUACAGUUUAUAAUUUAGAUUUAGUCCGAUGAUGUGCUACACAUUAAUAUCGGAUCAUUCAAAGCCACUAGAUUGAGAAGAGUAAGACAUUCAUUUAGAUCCAUUUUUUACAGAGAAUUAUAUUCUGCCGUUGACAGCAAGCCCAGAUGUUCCAGAGCCUCCUGUCUGGAAACAGACAGAUAGCUGUUAAUGAUGUCCAACACUUUAUCACUGACCCCUUAACACAGGGUUUCAGAUAGCUGUUAAUGAUGUCCAACACUUUAUCACUGACCCCUUAACACAGGGUUUCAGAUAGCUGUAAAUGAUGUCCAACACUUUAUCACUGACCCCUUAACACAGGGUUUCAGAUAGCUGUUAAUGAUGUCCAACACUUUAUCACUGACCCCUUAACACAGGGUUUCAGAUAGCUGUUAAAUGAUGUCCAACACUUUAUCACUGACCCCUUAACACAGGGUUUCAGAUAGCUGUUAAUGAUGUCCAACACUUUAUCACUGACCCCUUAACACAGGGUUUCAGAUAGCUGUUAAUGAUGUCCAACACUUUAUCACUGACCCCUUAACACAGGGUUUCAGAUAGCUGUAAAUGAUGUCCAACACUUUAUCACUGACCCCUUAACACAGGGUUUCAGAUAGCUGUUAAUGAUGUCCAACACUUUAUCACUGACCCCUUAACACAGGGUUUCAGAUAGCUGUUAAUGACGUCCAACACUUUAUCACUGACCCCUUAACACAGGGUUUCAGAUAGCUGUUAAUGACGUCCAACACUUUAUCACUGACCCCUUAACACAGGGUUUCAGAUAGCUGUUAAUGUCCAACACUUUAUCACUGACCCCUUAACACAGAGUUUCAGAUAGCUGUUAAUGAUGUCCAACACGUUAUCACUGACCCCUUAACACAGGGUUUCAGAUAGCUGUAAAUGAUGUCCAACACUUUAUCACUGACCCCUUAACACAGGGUUUCAGAUAGCUGUUAAUGUCCAACACUUUAUCACUGACCCCUUAACACAGGGUUUCAGAUAGCUGUUAAUGACGUCCAACACUUUAUCACUGACCCCUUAACACAGGGUUUCAGAUAGCUGUUAAUGACGUCCAACACUAUCACUGACCCACAGGGUUUCCAAAACGCGGUCCUGGAUUUUGCCCUAGCACUCCAGGAUCGGGUUUGGAAAACCCUGCCUUAACAGACACGUAUCUACUUCAUGACAGAAAAAUAUAUUUUUUACCUUAUUUUAGUCCAUUUAUUUGAUUGUUUUACAUUUCUAAAUGUUGACGAAUGGGGUAUUGUUUGGAGAUUUGAUUAUUAUUUCACAUUUUAAAUUCAAGCAGAAAAAUACAUUGAAUAUUUACAUUUUUUAAAAUUUUAAAUUGCAUGACAAGUAACUAAAACAUAUCUUCAUGGAAAAUUUGAACUGGCUUUACAAAAAGUUACGUCAAGAUUGUUGUGAUGUGGAAUUUUGCUGUACCGCAAUUUCUUGCGCUAUAUCCCGAAGUCAAUAUCGUUGUGACCUCUCGAGAUGUCUUAGGGCUAGAAACCAGACUGAACUAUAAUAACGGCUAGUUUUGGUUCAAUGUGUUGUGUUUGUAGGCUGUCGAUGCUCUGUUUCCAUCUCACCGAUCAGAUUUAGGAUCCAGAGCUACUGAUCUACAGUAUGUAUUGCAUUACAUACUGUAGAUUGCAUUACAUACUGUAGAUUAGAGAUGCAUCUGGAAUCCUAUGGAGACUUUCUGGAAUAGAUAGUUCAAACUAAUGCAUUUUUGAUCACAGUAAGCUCCUAAAUUCCCAGGUCUUAAGAAGUUACAAGAGAAACCUGGGGAGGAUUGGUUUUAGUAUCACUUCGUUGCCAAGCAAAACGUCACAAGAAAGAGUAAUGAAUUAGUCAUUAUAAAGACAGAAAAAAAAGAUGAGAAAAAAAAACAAAAAAAACCCUGUUGUGUGUUGCGAUUUCCAGACAUAUUUGCAUGAAUCUGUAUGUGCUGGAAAACAAUUGUGGAAAACCUAUUUUCUGUUUUGCCCUCACAGCUGUAGUAUUCUGUUGUUCACACUUGGGUGUAUGAAUGUUGAAUGACAGUCAGUAAAGUUACUUUCCUCUUUUCAUCUGGCAACUUCCAAUAAUGAACUGUUCAGUACGGGUUGUAGCCAGUUGUGGUAUUGUUGAAUUCAACCAUGCUCCAGGCAGAAGUUACCAUUUAAAUCCUCACCUCAUCCAAGGGUGAAACCCUCCCAACUAACCUUAGAUCAGUGUCUGGGGGGAGGGGGAAUUACAUCUUGUGACAACCUAUGACCUUGUGUUCACCAACCCUGGACCUGAGGACCAACUGGGUGUUCACAGGCUUUUGUUCUAGCCCAGCACUAACUUGAUUAAAGUAAUCAUCAAGACCGAAGGCUGGAACCACUGCUGUAGGUAAUAUAUGAGUUGGACACGGAGGUCUGAGCGAAGUGAAACUGACGUAAUGUGUUGGAAGUCGUUUUUGAGGUCUUUUUGUUUUUCUGUCCAGUGACCUAUUUUCACACGGCAUCAUGAUUUUUGUGGCGUUUUAGUGAGUAGGGGAACACAGCUCUAGAACUUGUGUCCGAUUCGGUCUUUGCAAUACAACGGUCUUCCCUGUAAGCUCCGAUUAGUCGACAAUAAAAUUACAAAUCUUGUUGGAAUGAA